UACGUAGGGUGCAAGCGUUGUCCGGAAUUAUUGGGCGUAAAGAGCUCGUAGGCGGUUUGUUGCGUCGGCUGUGAAAUCUCCACGCUCAACGUGGAGGGGUCAGCUGAUACUGCUGUGACUUGAGUCCGGUAGGGGAGUGUGGAAUUCCCGGUGUAGCGGUGAAAUGCGCAGAUAUCGGGAGGAACACCAGUAGCGAAGGCGGCACUCUGGGCCGGUACUGACGCUGAGGAGCGAAAGCGUGGGGAGCAAACAGG
rnacentral:rRNA from 1 species